GGCGGUGUUAGCAUAGUGGUUAAGGAGCUGGGCUAGCAAACCAGAAAAGUUGUGGGUUCAAUUCCCAGCUUUCACCA
rnacentral:tRNA from 1 species